UACGAAGGGGGCUAGCGUUGCUCGGAAUCACUGGGCGUAAAGCGCACGUAGGCGGCUUCUUAAGUCAGGGGUGAAAUCCUGGAGCUCAACUCCAGAACUGCCUUUGAUACUGAGGAGCUUGAGUCCGGGAGAGGUGAGUGGAACUGCGAGUGUAGAGGUGAAAUUCGUAGAUAUUCGCAAGAACACCAGUGGCGAAGGCGGCUCACUGGACCGGUACUGACGCUGAGGCGCGAAAGCGUGGGGAGCAAACGGG
rnacentral:rRNA from 1 species